AGCAAUUGUGAAUGGGAGUUCGCUCAUGAUUUGGCUCUCUGUCUAUUAUUCAUGUAUAGGAAUGCUUAUGAUUUUCGCACGUUCAUUUUGUAUCCUGAGACUUUGCUGAAGUUGCUUAUCAGCUUAAGGAGAUUUUGGGCUGAGACCACCACUUAGAGUUCUUACAUACAGUAGUACUGCCUUUUCCAAACUCUGGCAAGAAAUAAGAACUAAGGUUCCUGAGUUGGCAUCUUAGUGGUUCUU
rnacentral:lncRNA from 1 species